AGCAUGUGGUUUAAUUCGAGGCAACGCGAAGAACCUUACCUGGGCUUGACAUCCCGUGUUACCCCUGGAAACAGGGGGUCCUCUUCGGAGGCACGGUGACAGGUGUUGCAUGGCUGUCGUCAGCUCGUGUCGUGAGAUGUUGGGUUAAGUCCCCGCAACGAGCGCAACCCUGUUCCUAGUUACCAGCGGUUCGGCCGGGAACUCUAGGAAGACUGCCCGUGAUAAGCGGGAGGAAGGUGGGGACGACGUCAAGUCAUCAUGGCCCUUACGUCCAGGGCUACACACGUGCUACAAUGGCCGGUACAAUGGGUUGCGAAGCCGCAAGGUGAAGCUAAUCCCAAAAAAGCCGGUCUCAGUUCGGAUCGGAGUCUGCAACUCGACUCCGUGAAGCUGGAGUUGCUAGUAAUCCCCGGAUCAGCAACGCCGGGGUGAAUACGUUCCCGGGCCUU
rnacentral:rRNA from 1 species